GCCACAGGCACACACACCCCCAAUCAGAGGCGCGCACCCCGCUCGCUCCCGGAACUGUCAUGCGGGCUGACAGCUGGCACACCCUCCUGUCGCCCUCCACCCGCCUGCAGAAAGCCCACUCCCUACAGUCACCUUGACAUUGCUCACCUGCCUGGGCCUCAGCCCAUGACCAAGGAAACUUUUGCCCUCCCUCCCCAGGAGCUCACUUACAGGCCAUCUUCAAAGGUACUGCCUACCUGAACCUGCCUUGUCCCAAAGGACACACUUCAAUCUGGGGAGAGUUUAAAGUUGUAGACAUAUCCAUUUUCAUUUAAGGAAUAUGAAGAUCAGGGAGGCAAAAUAUAGAGAUAUAGAGAGGAAAAACUGAGAGAUGAUCAGAAAUUCAGACGCAUUCGGAAUGAGCACCCUUGACCAUACCAAGAACAAAGACUCUAUAAAAAUGUGAAGUCUUAUUAUUGUUCAUCCAUGUUCUACGUGGGAUCCACCCAAGACAUUGAAAACUGUACAGAACAGGGUGAAAUUGAAUCAGAUCAUUCUGUACUCCUAACAAGGUCCACCCCAUGAGAGACUUGCAGCAGAAUUAAUGACACUGUAUAUUUUCCUCUACUAACAACAACAAGAACAACAACAACAACAAUCUAGGAAAAUCAAAGGCAGCCCGACAUGGAAAAAAACACAAAAUGAAUAUUUGGAUUACAAAUAGUGUGAUGGGAAGAACACACUGCCAAAAGUCCACCUAGUAUGUUGAAAUUACUGUUUCUAGCACAUAUAAGAUUUGCUGCCAAUUUGUACUGACUUCUGAAAAAUACUUUAUCCAUUGUCUUCUUACAUCAGAAUCAACUCCCUAAAUUCUUCAGCACUGGCUUUGUAAACUGGUUUCUGGUCUUUGUUUCUGUCAACUUACCUAUAAAAGGAUACAAAAACUGAAGAACAGAGAGGAGCAGAUACCCUGGAAAGCCGAAAGUUUUAUUGACCAAAGACUGAGUCUCGGAAUGUUUUGAUUGUGGAGUUUAUAGAGUUCAGGCUGAAGUUUUAUAAAAAUAACUUGCAGCAGCAUGGAGGACUGAUGAGAAAGUAGACAGAUGCUGGAAGCAGGAAAACUGAACAGCAGGUCACUGGCCAAGGAGAAUCAAAGAGCUAGAUGCUGAGAAUAAUGCAGCCAUAACGUGAAAUCUUUUUGAGGCUCCGUGGUGGUCUUAAAAUAUAUCCACAAAUUUUCUGACAUCCUCUCUUCAAGAAGUGGAGCUUAAUUCCCUUUCCUUUGAGUGCAGACCACUCACUCUGGGAGAAAGCAACUGGCUAUGUCAUGAGGAAAUUGAAACCACCUAUGGAGAAAGGCCCACAUGGUGAGAAAGUAAAGCCUCUUCCCAAUACCAAAAUUCUGUAAGUCUGCUACGGUGACAUUUCUGGUUAGGAGUCAGAGUGGAUGGGACACUGAGCAAUAAGAAUGCAGAGACAUGAUGGCUGAAGCUGGAGCUUUUCCCUGAAGCAACCACCUGUUGGAAACUUCAUGUUGAAGAUGACUGAAUAAUAAGACAGAGGGGUCUGGGUCCCUGGUGGAUAUUCCAGAUCUGGGUGUUCGUGGAGAUAUGAGAAAGCAAUAAACUUCAAUUUUGCUUAAAUAGCUGUUACUUGGGGCAUUCUGUCAUUUAUGGACAAAUCUGACCUGGAUUAAUACACCUCCAGC
rnacentral:lncRNA from 1 species